rnacentral:rRNA from 1 species
UACGUAGGGUGCGGGCGUGUCCGGAAUUAUUGGGCGUAAAGGGCUCGUAGGCGGUUUGUCGCGUCGGGAGUGAAAACCCAGGGCUUAACCCUGGGCUGGCUUCCGAUACGGGCAGACUAGAGGUAUGCAGGGGAGAACGGAAUUCCUGGUGUAGCGGUGAAAUGCGCAGAUAUCGGGAAGAACAUCAGUGGCGAAGGCGGCCUUCUGGUCCAGUACUGACACUCAAGUGCGAAAGGCGUGGGUAGCGAACAGG